AUGAACGCUAGCUACAGGCUUAACACAUGCAAGUCGAGGGGCAGCAUGGUCUUAGCUUGCUAAGGCCGAUGGCGACCGGCGCACGGGUGAGUAACACGUAUCCAACCUGCCGUCUACUCUUGGACAGCCUUCUGAAAGGAAGAUUAAUACAAGAUGGCAUCAUGAGUCCGCAUGUUCACAUGAUUAAAGGUAUUCCGGUAGACGAUGGGGAUGCGUUCCAUUAGAUAGUAGGCGGGGUAACGGCCCACCUAGUCUUCGAUGGAUAGGGGUUCUGAGAGGAAGGUCCCCCACAUUGGAACUGAGACACGGUCCAAACUCCUACGGGAGGCAGCAGUGAGGAAUAUUGGUCAAUGGGCGAGAGCCUGAACCAGCCAAGUAGCGUGAAGGAUGACUGCCCUAUGGGUUGUAAACUUCUUUUAUAAAGGAAUAAAGUCGGGUAUGGAUACCCGUUUGCAUGUACUUUAUGAAUAAGGAUCGGCUAACUCCGUGCCAGCAGCCGCGGUAAUACGGAGGAUUCGAGCGUUAUCCGGAUUUAUUGGGUUUAAAGGGAGCGUAGAUGGAUGUUUAAGUCAGUUGUGAAAGUUUGCGGCUCAACCGUAAAAUUGCAGUUGAUACUGGAUAUCUUGAGUGCAGUUGAGGCAGGCGGAAUUCGUGGUGUAGCGGUGAAAUGCUUAGAUAUCACGAAGAACUCCGAUUGCGAAGGCAGCCUGCUAAGCUGCAACUGACAUUGAGGCUCGAAAGUGUGGGUAUCAAACAGGAUUAGAUACCCUGGUAGUCCACACGGUAAACGAUGAAUACUCGCUGUUUGCGAUAUACGGCAAGCGGCCAAGCGAAAGCGUUAAGUACUCCACCUGGGGAGUACGCCGGCAACGGUGAAACUCAAAGGAAUUGACGGGGGCCCGCACAAGCGGAGGAACAUGUGGUUUAAUUCGAUGAUACGCGAGGAACCUUACCCGGGCUUAAAUUGCAGAUGAAUUACGGUGAAAGCCGUAAGCCGCAAGGCAUCUGUGAAGGUGCUGCAUGGUUGUCGUCAGCUCGUGCCGUGAGGUGUCGGCUUAAGUGCCAUAACGAGCGCAACCCUUGUUGUCAGUUACUAACAGGUUCCGCUGAGGACUCUGACAAGACUGCCAUCGUAAGAUGUGAGGAAGGUGGGGAUGACGUCAAAUCAGCACGGCCCUUACGUCCGGGGCUACACACGUGUUACAAUGGGGGGUACAGAGGGCCGCUACCACGCGAGUGGAUGCCAAUCCCCAAAACCUCUCUCAGUUCGGACUGGAGUCUGCAACCCGACUCCACGAAGCUGGAUUCGCUAGUAAUCGCGCAUCAGCCACGGCGCGGUGAAUACGUUCCCGGGCCUUGUACACACCGCCCGUCAAGCCAUGGGAGCCGGGGGUACCUGAAGUGCGUAACCGCGAGGAGCGCCCUAGGGUAAAACUGGUGACUGGGGCU
rnacentral:rRNA from 1 species